rnacentral:rRNA from 1 species
CUAAGAAUCUUCCGCAAUGGGGGGAACCCUGACGGAGCGACGCCGCGUGAACGAGGAAGGCCGAAAGGUUGUAAAGUUCUUUUCUUGGGGAAGAAUAAGGGGAAGAGGGAAUGCUUCUCUGAUGACGGUAACCGAGGAAAAAGCCCCGGCCAAUUACGUGCCAGCAGCCGCGGUAACACGUAAGGGGCGAGCGUUGUUCGGAAUUAUUGGGCGUAAAGGGCGUGUAGGCGGUUUUGUAAGCCUGGUGUAAAAGGCGUACGCUUAACGUACGUAGGUCGCUGGGGACUGCGAGACUAGAGUGUAGGAAGGGGAGCUGGAAUUCCAGGUGUAGGGGUGAAAUCUGUAGAUAUCUGGAAGAACACCGAUGGCGAAGGCAAGCUUCUGGUCGAUAACUGACGCUGAGGUGCGAAAGUGUGGGGAUCAAACA